GCGUGAGUGAUGAAGGCCUUAGGGUUGUAAAGCUCUUUUACCAGGGAUGAUAAUGACAGUACCUGGAGAAUAAGCUCCGGCUAACUCCGUGCCAGCAGCCGCGGUAAUACGAAGGGGACUAGCGUUGUUCGGAAUUACUGGGCGUAAAGCGCACGUAGGCGGACAUGUCAGUCAGGGGUGAAAUCCCGGAGCUCAACUCCGGAACUGCCUUUGAUACAGCAUGUCUAGAGUCCGGAAGAGGUGAGUGGAAUUCCUAGUGUAGAGGUGAAAUUCGU
rnacentral:rRNA from 1 species